rnacentral:rRNA from 1 species
AUGAACGCUGGCGGCGUGCCUCAUACAUGCAAGUCGAGCGAACAGAUGAGGAGCUUGCUCCUCUGACGUUAGCGGCGGACGGGUGAGUAACACGUGGAUAACCUACCUAUAAGACUGGGAUAACUUCGGGAAACCGGAGCUAAUACCGGAUAAUAUAUUGAACCGCAUGGUUCAAUAGUGAAAGACGGUUUUGCUGUCACUUAUAGAUGGAUCCGCGCCGCAUUAGCUAGUUGGUAAGGUAACGGCUUACCAAGGCAACGAUGCGUAGCCGACCUGAGAGGGUGAUCGGCCACACUGGAACUGAGCCACGGUCCAGACUCCUACGGGAGGCAGCAGUAGGGAAUCUUCCGCAAUGGGCGAAAGCCUGACGGAGCAACGCCGCGUGAGUGAUGAAGGUCUUCGGAUCGUAAAACUCUGUUAUUAGGGAAGAACAAAUGUGUAAGUAACUAUGCACGUCUUGACGGUACCUAAUCAGAAAGCCACGGCUAACUACGUG